rnacentral:rRNA from 1 species
UACAGAGGGUGCAAGCGUUAAUCGGAAUUACUGGGCGUAAAGCGUGCGCAGGCGGUUUUGUAAGACUGUCGUGAAAUCCCCGGGCUUAACCUGGGAAUGGCGAUGGUGACUGCAAGGCUAGAGUUUGGCAGAGGGGGGUAGAAUUCCACGUGUAGCAGUGAAAUGCGUAGAUAUGUGGAGGAACACCGAUGGCGAAGGCAGCCCCCUGGGUCAAAACUGACGCUCAUGCACGAAAGCGUGGGGAGCAAACAGG